UAGGGAAUCUUCGGCAAUGGACGGAAGUCUGACCGAGCAACGCCGCGUGAGUGAAGAAGGUUUUCGGAUCGUAAAGCUCUGUUGUAAGAGAAGAACGAGUGUGAGAGUGGAAAGUUCACACUGUGACGGUAUCUUACCAGAAAGGGACGGCUAACUACGUGCCAGCAGCCGCGGUAAUACGUAGGUCCCGAGCGUUGUCCGGAUUUAUUGGGCGUAAAGCGAGCGCAGGCGGUUAGAUAAGUCUGAAGUUAAAGGCUGUGGCUUAACCAUAGUAGGCUUUGGAAACUGUUUAACUUGAGUGCAAGAGGGGAGAGUGGAAUUCCAUGUGUAGCGGUGAAAUGCGUAGAUAUAUGGAGGAACACCGGUGGCGAAAGCGGCUCUCUGGCUUGUAACUGACGCUGAGGCUCGAAAGCGUGGGGAGCAAACAGGAUUAGAUACCCUGGUAGUCCACGCUGUGAACGAUGAGUGCUAGGUGUUAGACCCUUUCCGGGGUUUAGUGCCGUAGCUAACGCAUUAAGCACUCCGCCUGGGGAGUGCGACCGCAAGGUUG
rnacentral:rRNA from 1 species